UCUAUUCAGGUAUGAUGUUAA
rnacentral:siRNA from 1 species